rnacentral:rRNA from 1 species
GACGAACGCUGGCGGCGUGCUUAACACAUGCAAGUCGAGCGGAAAGGCCCUUCGGGGUACUCGAGCGGCGAACGGGUGAGUAACACGUGAGUAACCUGCCCCAGACUUUGGGAUAACCCUCGGAAACGGGGGCUAAUACCGGAUACGACACAGCUUCGCAUGGGGUCUGUGUGGAAAGUUUUUCGGUUUGGGAUGGGCUCGCGGCCUAUCAGCUUGUUGGUGGGGUGAUGGCCUACCAAGGCGACGACGGGUAGCCGGCCUGAGAGGGCGACCGGCCAUACUGGGACUGAGACACGGCCCAGACUCCUACGGGAGGCAGCAGUGGGGAAUAUUGCACAAUGGGCGGAAGCCUGAUGCAGCGACGCCGCGUGAGGGAUGACGGCCUUCGGGUUGUAAACCUCUUUCAGCAGGGACGAAGCGUAAGUGACGGUACCUGCAGAAGAAGCGCCGGCCAACUACGUG